rnacentral:rRNA from 1 species
AUUGAACGCUGGCGGCAGGCCUAACACAUGCAAGUCGAGCGAGCGGCGGACGGGUGAUUAAUGUAUGGGGACUGCUCGUUAGAGGGGGAUAACUACAGGAAACGCUAGCUAAUACCGCAUACUAUCGGAUAACCCAUAUGGGAUUAGCUAGUUGGGGGGGUAAUGGCUCACCAAGGCGUCGAUCCCUAGCUGGUCUGAGAGGAUGAUCAGCCACACUGGGACUGAGACACGGCCCAGACUCCUACGGAGGCAGCAGUGGGGAAUAUUGCACAAUGGGCGCAAGCCUGAUGCAGCCAUGCCGCGUGUGUGAAGAAGGCCCUAGGGUUGUAAAGUACUUUCAGUCGGGAGGCGUUACCGACAGAAGAAGCACCGGCUAACUCCGUGCCAGCAGCCGCGGUAAUUC